rnacentral:rRNA from 1 species
AGUGAACGCUGGCGGCGUGCCUAAUACAUGCAAGUCGAACGGAGUGGCGCACGGGUGAGUAAUAUAUAGCUAAUCUGCCCCUUGCUGGAGGACAACAGUUAGAAAUGACUGCUAAUACUCCAUAGCAAGGGAUGAGACUGUAUCGUAUCAGCUAGUCGGUGGGGUAACGGCCUACCGAGGCAAUGACGCGUAACUGGGCUGAGAGGAUGAGCAGUAACAUUGGAACUGAGACACGGGCGAAACUCCUACGGGAGGCAGCAGUAGGGAAAAUUGCGCAAUGGGGGAAUCCCUGACGCAGCAACGCGGCGUGGAGGAUGACACUUUUGGGAGCGGAAACUCCUGUUGUUAGGGACGCGGUACCUAACGAAUAAGCACCGGCUAACUCCGUGCCAGCCGCCGCGGUAAUUC